rnacentral:snoRNA from 1 species
GAUCAAUGAUGACAAUACCCAAAUCUGAGCAUCAGAAGGCCUUCCAGUCUACCUGAUGCAUGAUCUUUGUAGUUCAAGAA